UACGGAGGGUGCGAGCGUUGUCCGGAAUCACUGGGCGUAAAGGGCGCGUAGGCGGCUUCUCAAGCGUGUGGUGAAAGUCCGGGGCUCAACCCCGGAUCGGCCGUGCGGACUGGGGAGCUCGAGUUCUGUAGAGGCGGGUGGAAUUCCGGGUGUAGCGGUGGAAUGCGUAGAGAUCCGGAAGAACACCAGUGGCGAAGGCGGCUUGCUGGGCGUGAUCUGACGCUGAGGCGCGAAAGCGUGGGGAGCGAACAGG
rnacentral:rRNA from 1 species